GCUUAUGGCCAUAUCAGCCUGGGUACACGCCUGAUCUCGGAAGCUAAGCAGGGUCGGGCCUGGUUAGUACUUGGAUGGGAGACCGCCUGGGAAUACCAGGUGCUGUAAGCA
rnacentral:rRNA from 1 species